rnacentral:lncRNA from 1 species
AAAAAUAUUUCCUUAAAAUUUUUAUAGAGCCUUUGAUUCCUAGUUAUGUUAAGCAGAGUCUAAAAUGUACAUGAAUUCAAUUACCUAAUUGAGGGAUUUUUUGGUGUUUAGAGACAGGGUCUCACUCUGUUGCCCAGGCUGGUGUUGAACUCCUGGCCUCAAGCAGUCCUCCCGCCUUAAUCUCCCAAACAAUAGAGGAAUGUUUUUAUUUUUUUUCCAUCAAACAU